GACGAACGCUGGCGGCGUGCCUAAUACAUGCAAGUAGAACGCUGAAGGAGGAGCUUGCUCUUCUGGAUGAGUUGCGAACGGGUGAGUAACGCGUAGGUAACCCGCCUGGUAGCGGGGGAUAACUAUUGGAAACGAUAGCUAAUACCGCAUAACAGUAGAUGUUGCAUGACAUUUGCUUAAAAGGUGCAAUUGCACCACUACCAGAUGGACCUGCGUUGUAUUAGCUAGUUGGUGGGGUAACGGCUCACCAAGGCGACGAUACAUAGCCGACCUGAGAGGGUGAUCGGCCACACUGGGACUGAGACACGGCCCAGACUCCUACGGGAGGCAGCAGUAGGGAAUCUUCGGCAAUGGACGGAAGUCUGACCGAGCAACGCCGCGUGAGUGAAGAAGGUUUUCGGAUCGUAAAGCUCUGUUGUAAGAGAAGAACGAGUGUGAGAGUGGAAAGUUCACACUGUGACGGUAUCUUACCAGAAAGGGACGGCUAACUACGUG
rnacentral:rRNA from 1 species